rnacentral:tRNA from 1 species
GCCGGUCUGGCUCAGUUGGUAGAGCAUGUGACUCUUGAUCUUUGGGGUUGUGGGUUCAAGCCCCACGUUGGGUU